rnacentral:lncRNA from 1 species
GAAAACCCAGCAAGGCCUGUCUGUUUGGAUUUUUCUUGGCUUCUUUGUGUAACAUUCUUUCCUCCUGGGUAUGGAUCAGUAUCCUUUCUGGAAUGGGGCUCUCAUAACCUACUGUUCAACAAGCUACUCUUUAGAGGUAUGAUGGAUCUCCCCACAAAGUCUGGUUCAGGUGUCAAGACCUACACACCAAGAAACGAUGAGAAGAAUUAUCAUUCACAUGAGACUUUCUGGGGCAAGCAGAGUGGCUACCAAACAGGUCUUAAAAUGGCUUGAGAAAUCCAGGUCCCAGAUAAUAAUUAGGAAAACAAAUCAGGACCGAAACUCCAGAGAGGCACUUUUGAAGUGGCCUCCGAUGCGAAGGUGAGAUCAGAAAUACGCCUGUGGAACCCUCUACAUGCGGAUCUGGCAAGCAUUCAACACAAACGCAAUUAGAGGGCUUACCCUUGCAUGAAAUAUUUGCUUUCCUGAUAGUCACUAACUUUAAACUUUAGGAAUGCCAGGGCAUAGUGUUUCUGUAUCAGAACUAGAAUCCUCUACUUCACUUUCUUCAGCUAUUAUUUUUGAAGUUUGCAUAUCGUAUUAAAGUCCCACCAAACAAUAAAUAGGAAAGCAUGAUUUUAUUAAAAUCCUCUUGAGACAACCGCAUCUGCCCUGGCUAUUCUUUGAUCAGGGUCUGAGAGGUUGCAGCAUGCACACUCACCCAGAGGUACUUGAGAGCAUUGUUCACGUAUUCAAUGAAUAUUGAAUGCUAGAGUGAAUCUACACUGGGCUUAGAUCAGCAUAAAUCUCCACAACUCACCUUCAAUGGUGGACACAGGCAACUAACCAGG